rnacentral:rRNA from 1 species
ACCGUAAACGAUGAGUGCUAGGUGUUAGGCCCUUUCCGGGGCUUAGUGCCGCAGCUAACGCAUUAAGCACUCCGCCUGGGGAGUACGAGCGCAAGGUUGAAACUCAAAGGAAUUGACGGGGGCCCGCACAAGCGGUGGAGCAUGUGGUUUAAUUCGAAGCAACGCGAAGAACCUUACCGAGUCUUGACAUCCCAGUGACCGCUCUAGAGAUAGAGUUUUUCUUCGGAACACUGGUGACAGGUGGUGCAUGGUUGUCGUCAGCUCGUGUCGUGAGAUGUUGGGUUAAGUCCCGCAACGAGCGCAACCCUUAUUGUUAGUUGCCAUCAUUCAGUUGGGCACUCUAGCGAGACUGCCGGUAAUAAACCGGAAGAAGGUGGGGAUGACGUCAAUCAUCAUGGCCCUUACGACCAGGGCUACACACGUGCUACAAUGGCGCAUACAAAGAGAAGCGACCUCGCGAGAGCAAGCGGACCUCAUAAAGUGUCGUCGUAGUCCGGAUUGGAGUCUGCAACUCGACUCCAUGAAGUCGGAAUCGCUAGUAAUCGUGGAUCAGAAUGCCACGGUGAAUACGUUCCCGGGCCUUGUACACACCGCCCGUCACACCA